AUUGAACGCUGGCGGCAGGCCUAACACAUGCAAGUCGAGCGAGCGGCGGACGGGUGAGUAAUGUAUGGGGACUGCCCGAUAGAGGGGGAUAACUACUGGAAACGGUAGCUAAUACCGCAUACUAUCGGAUAACCCAUAUGGGAGUAGCUAGUAGGGUAGGUAAUGGCUCACCUAGGCGACGAUCCCUAGCUGGUCUGAGAGGAUGAUCAGCCACACUGGGACUGAGACACGGCCCAGACUCCUACGGAGGCAGCAGUGGGGAAUAUUGCGCAAUGGGCGCAAGCCUGAUGCAGCCAUGCCGCGUGUAUGAAGAAGGCCCUAGGGUUGUAAAGUACUUUCAGUCGGGAGGCGUUACCUACAGAAGAAGCACCGGCUAACUCCGUGCCAGCCGCCGCGGUAAUUC
rnacentral:rRNA from 1 species